rnacentral:lncRNA from 1 species
GAUAAUGAUAAUCAGGGUGACAUGGGUAAUCAGAAUGCAACAACUCAGGGGGAGUCUUCUGGAACAGCACCUCAGAACUCUGUUUUUGGUCUAGCUCAGAUGGAAGCUAUGGAGCAACGGCUUAACAACCGUAUGGAUCUUCACUUCCAAGGGUUGAAGGAUUCUUAUUUUGCAGGCAUGGAGCAGUAUGAAGAACGUCAGAUUGCCUAUACAGACAACAAAUUUCAGGAGCUGAGGAACAUGAUUCAAUCUAAUGCUGAAGCUCAAAAUGC